rnacentral:lncRNA from 1 species
AGAUUGCUUUCCUCCCACUUCAUCAGUCUUCUUUCAACUUCUACCAAUCUUUCUUUUCAGAAUUUAAGAGGUAGACGCAGGAACCAAUUUCCAGGGACCCAUCCCAGGGACGUCCAUGAGUGGCAAUUGUUGUACUCAGACAAAAGGCAAAUGUGACUCCUCUACUCCUCUUUGGAUGUCUCCAUCUGCGGCAAAGAAAAUCAGUAUCAAUGUAUUGGUAGAAAGAUACACAUAUAUACAUAGAAGAAGCAGCAGGAUGCAUGGGUUCCAAGAAGUCUCUGCCUCCUUACUCUCUCUCUGUUCUAAUAAUGAUGACUUGGCCAUAGUCAUAGAGGGAGAGAGGAACACCAAUGCUUGAACAAGACAAUGAGAAAAAAAAGGAAAUCACUUCAGAGGUCACUUGAUAUGAUGACUUGUUUUUGUGGAGAAAAUUCAAGUAUUUCUGGUUUGCUGUUCACAGUGUGAACUCUCAGCUUUCUGCUCCAGGUGCCAUGGCUGCCACCUACUACCAUGCUUCCCUGUGAUUAGGAAUCCUAACUUUCUAGAACGGAUGCCUUGUUUACUUCCCACAUCCAUGGAUGAGAAUAUUGUGAAACAAGUCCCUCUGGCAAGAAGAAGUACUGUUUCUCUACCUGUGGGAACACUGAGGUUCUGAGAACUGAGAACACACAAGGAAAAAGGACAGAGGAAGAUAAAGAAGAAGGUCACUAUGAGUCAGGAUGGACCAUGAGCACAUGGCCAAGAGAAGCUCACCCUGAGGACGAACAUGGAGGAGAGCAAGCUGGGAGAGACUCAAAAGAUACAGCGUGGCUGCAUCAUUUUUCAAUUAAGCAAAUGGUUUUGGAGAGCUGGGAGUGUGGUCGGAUGUUAGUUCACUUGCUAACGCGUGCAAGACCCUGGAUUGAAGCUUCAUCAGCACAACAAACAAACAAACACUAGGAUAAUUUUAAAGGGAUACAUUUUGCUAAGGCAAAGCUGGAUAACCGGAAGCGGAAGAAGAUGCCGCAGGUGAGAAACAGCGGACCCUCUGAGGAUCAGGAGGAAGCAACGGCCCCAGCUUUUCCAGUUUGACUGUGAUUGCCCAUUUUUGUGAACGCCGUCUCACAUUAAUGCUGCACUUUGUCCAGCUUUCUAAAAGCCACACAUUGGCAGGAAGUAUAAAACAUGCUUUGGACCAAAAACUGAAAAUAGUUGUCCUCCUGUAACUACAGAAAUGCUGAGACCAUAAGGUGACUGCAAGCAGAUGUCUCUGCAGAAGUAUAAAACCCAC